rnacentral:lncRNA from 1 species
CAAACACCACCACCAACAAAACCUCAUCCCCUCCCAAAAAUAACUGUCCUGGAAACAAAAAAGCUUUUUGUCAACAAGUUUACAAUAUUUAUAGCUAAUAAUAAUCUUCUGAGUUUGAGGUUUACCUCUGGCCUUGAACUCAUUUUACCUUGCUUGUUCUAUAGUGAUUGUUCAGUUCAACCUCAGGUAAUUUCUUACCCUCUGCCUGCAGAAGGGCAUCACAAAACACACCACUCUGCUGCUGGUGAUGAAGCUGCAGAAAAGCUACCCGGAGGAACCGGGGAUUCCUGUACAGGAUUUUGGGACUGGCAGGAGAGCACAUGCUGUAUCUGGUUAAUAAACCUCCUAGGUUUUCCUGGUUCAGAUUCCUGUAGGGAGAUAAUAUAUUUUAGAGUUAUUAUGACCUAACUUAUGUUUUUGCCUUUGAAAUGGCAGACAUUUUAAAAGCUAAUGAGUUGAAAAAACAGCUGAGAAGUUAUGUGGAGGAUACUGUCAAGAAAGACUGUUAUGACAGGGUGAGUCUUGGCUUGCCUAGUUCUGGGCUAGCCUAGCUGCAUUAAUACCAUGCGGAUGACCUAGUUUCUCAGAGACUCACUUUUCUCAUGCAUGAAGUGGAAAUAACAGUACUUACCUUGUAAGGCUUCUAAAGAACUUUAAAUAAGCUAGACAUGGUAGAGCAUACCUAUACUUCCAAUUCCUGGGGGCAGAGGUAGUGUGAUCAGGAAUUCAAGGACAUCCACCCUCCCAUAAUUAACUAGUUCAAGGCUAGCCUAGGCUAUAUAAGACCCUGUCUC